rnacentral:tRNA from 2 species
GCCUGGCUGGCUCAGUUGGUAGAGCCUGAGACUCUUUGAUCUCAGGAUCGUGAGUUCGAGCCCCACGUUGGGUA